CGAUGAGCAGCGAUGCCACCGCAUCAGCAGCCACGAGGCCUGCCAGGAGCGGCAGAGAGAGGGACCCACAUCCGGAACAAGAGCCUGGAGAGUGGGGGCCGGAACAGGGAGACAACUCAAGCUCUGCGUCCUGGGGCUGUGCUUUGGCCACAGGCAGAGAGGAAGUCCCCUGCGAGGGGGCGGGUCCCAGGUUCCUUGGAGUUGCGCUUGGGGAAUGAAACGGGAGACAGAUGCAGAGAGGCUGGGGUGUCCCAGGACCCUCGGGGCUGUGCGGCGGGCACACGGGGUGCUCCUGAACACAGGCUGGGGGUCGCUGAUUCUGGGACUCGGAGAAGGACACGGAUCCUCUGAUUUGGGGACGGGAGGUGGGAUGGUGACCUGGAGAACCACUGGGGUGUUCUGGGAGCCUCUGGCCAAGCUUCUGGGGUGGAAGUGAUACCUGAAGUGCCAGGGUAAAAGGCAGGGAGUGAUGAUCUCUCUCCUGGAGUCGUCUGAGCUGCAGCCACUGUGGAAAGAGAAAGAAGGUGGAUGAGGGUGGAGAGAAGGUCCACAAAACAGAAUGCUCAGCCUGGCACCGUGGCUCACGCCUGUCAUCCCAGCACUUUGGGAGGCCGAGGCAGGAAGAUCGCUUGAGCCCAGGAGUUCGAGACCAGCCUGGGCAACAUAGUGAGACCUCGUCUCUACAAGAAAUACAAAAAUUAGCUGGAAGUGUUGGUUCACACCUGUAAUCCCAGUUACUCGGGAGGCUGAGCUGGGAGGAUCACCUGAGCCCAGGAAGUCAAGGCUGCCGUGAGCCGUGAUUGUGCCACUGCACUCCAGCCUGGACAACAGAGCAAGACCCCAUCUCAAAAUAAACAAACCAAAAAAUAGGGUGUAGAGAAGGAAAGGUAGUGUCCUGAGAAGUAAUCUCCAGGCUGGAGAGAUGGAACAGGACCACAUGGGAAGGGGACUCCCAGAGACAUGGAGAGUGACAAGAAAUUGGAAGUGGCAGCAGAGACCCAGCCAUGAGAAGGGGACGCUAACAGGCAGCCCCUCCAGAACUCCCUGUCUCACCCCCUUCCGCCCCCAAGGACCCAGGCCCUGAAGCAGAAUGGAUCUCCCAGAAGGGAAGGGGUGCAGGGAGAAGAACCCCACUUUCAUCACCCGUCCCUGCAGACGUCACCCAAGCACCCAUCUCACAAACGCUCUGCCUACCAUCCCCUGUAACCACUGGCUUCACCUGGGAGCAAAAGCAGGAAGAGGAUGUGACCCAGAUGGAUCAUGGUGGACUGGGGUCUGGCAGGGGUCUGGCAGAGGACUGUGGUCCAGAGAAGUCCAGAGGAACUGUGGGGGAGCAGAGAAGUAGCAAUAGCGGAUGUCACCCUGCUGGUGUCAAGGCCAUCUGCUUCCUGUGUGUGUUGAGGGGGUGUCUCCGUUACUGCCUUUGGUGAACGAACUCAGGGGGAGGGUCAGAGAGACCAGGGAGGCUGCUGGCCUGGUCCAAGUGGGAAUGACAGGUGGCAAGGGUGUGCAGGCUAGGGAGAUCUGGAAAUAUUUUGGAGGUAGGGCCAAGAAAAUUUGCUGAUUAAAUGAAUGUGGGUGUGUUUGAGAGGGAUCCUAGACAGCCAAGCCUUCUGGCAUGAAACGCUGAGAAGAUGGGAGUGUCUGCUGGCAGAGAUGAAAGGUAGGGAAGUGGGUUUGCGGGGAAAGUGACGAGGUUUGGGCAUACAGGGUUGGAAAUGCCUGACAAUCUCCCUGUGGAGAUGCUGAAUAACCUCACUGCAUUUAGGAGUUCAGGGGAUAAGGCUGGUCUGGAGAUGUAAAUUUGGGGGUUGAUGGCUUAUGGAUGGUACUUAAAGCCACAAGACUGGGUGAGAUCACCAAGGAAGUGAGUGCAGACAGGAUUCUGCCCCUAUCACAACACACACUGAAUGGGGGAAGAGGAGGAACUUUGCCAGGGAAAUGGAGAAAGAGGGAGGGGACCCCUGAGAGCAUGGCAUCUUGAAAGCAGGGGAGAGGCCACCGCAGUGGCUCAUGCCUGUAAUCCCAGCACUUUGGGAGGCCAAGGUGGGGGGAUCACCUGAGAUCAGGAGUUCAAGCCAAUAUGGUGAAACCCCGUCUCUACAAAAAUACAAAAAUUACCCGGGCAUGGUGUCAGGCUCCUGUAAUCCCAGCUACUUGGGAGACUGAGGCAAGUGGAGGUUGCAGUGAGCCGAGAUCUCACCACUUUGCCACUGCACUCCAGCCUGGGCGACAGAAUGAGACCCUCUCUCUAACAAUAAAAAUGUAAUAAUAAAAUAAAAUAGAAAAGCAAGC
rnacentral:lncRNA from 10 species